CCAAAGCCUGACUUUGAGUGUUUGGUGAGCAAGACCUGCUAGCUACCAGGUUUCUCUUGCUUGCGGAACAUCUCUGGUCAUCAUGGAGGUUCCUCCACAUCCCUUAGGCCUGCCUCUGGAGCAACAUACCUGCUUACAAUAUGAUCGUCUGAUGGAAGGUCGGCCAUGGCCCGCUUUGUUUGCCAAAGACCGAAGCCUCCAAGUUUGGAGCAGAGCUGGUCGCCCGGCUGAGAUGGACGAGCGCCUGUCAGAUAACGCUUUUAAACACAACGCUCCCCGGCUUGGAAAGACACAACGCAGAUCUUCACUGACUAAAUGAACCUCCUGAGACCCAGCGGUGCAUUUUUGUCCUCUUUAAGGGACAAGCGGUUCUUAGUCUAUUAUUUUUUGUCAUGCCCCCCUCUUCAGGGUCAUCUUUUCCCCCCUAAAAUUGUACUACAAUUGAGCACCUUAUAUAUACUGUAUGUAUAUAAAUCAGGGGUGUCCAAACUUUUUCCACUGAGGGCCGCACACGGAAAAAU